rnacentral:misc_RNA from 1 species
GCAAACUUGGUCAUUUAGAGGAAGUAAAAGUCGUAACAAGGUUUCCGUAGGUGAACCUGCGGAAGGAUCAUUACUGUGGGCCGAAGCCGAUAGCCGCCCGGUUAGGGCGCGGCUGGACCCCCGAGAGAGCAUGUUGGCCAAUUUUGGUUACAUGGAAAACCCGUGUCUUUGGAGUACCUAUUUGUUUCCUCGGUAGGCUCGCCUGCCAAUGGGGACCAACCUUAAACUCUUUUGUUGUAGUUGUAUUGUCUGAAUGAAAUAAAACCUUUUAAAACUUUCAACAACGGAUCUCUUGGUUCUGGCAUCGAUGAAGAACGCAGC